CCCUUAGAUGUUCUGGGCCGCACGCGCGCUACACUGACGAUGGCAACGAGUUUUUCCUUCGCCGAAAGGUGUGGGUAAUCUUUUGAAACAUCGUCGUGCUGGGGAUAGAUCAUUGCAAUUUUUGAUCUUGAACGAGGAAUUCCUAGUAAGCGCGAGUCAUCAGCUCGCGUUGAUUACGUCCCUGCCCUUUGUACACACCGCCCGUCGCAACUACCGAUUGAAUGGUUUAGUGAGGACUCCUGAUUGGCGCCGCCGCCCCGGCAACGGAGCAGCGGACUGCCGAAAAGUUGUUCAAACUUGAUCAUUUAGAGGAAGUAAAAGUCGUAACA
rnacentral:rRNA from 1 species